rnacentral:sRNA from 1 species
GGAUAGUGCUUUUCUUAUAGGCCUGUUGUGACAAGUAAAUGCUGUAAAUAGGGUCCCUGGUAAAUGAUAUUAUUAGGGUGCCACCAAGGUGGGGUGCUAGGCUAGGAUUAUGAGGAACUGACUAAAAGGAGUGGCAGGGAGCUGGCAUCUUGUCCUCUGGGCCAUCCGUGUGGUCGAUACAUAGUAGGUCCUCACAGAAGGUUUGUUAAAUGACUGGGGAUGAGGGCCUGUAUCCUGAGGAGGGGAUGAAAAGGAGAGAGGAGAAAAGACUCAGCCCAGCUCACUGCCUGACCGUGCCCCUUAGAGCCACUGCCGGUGAAGCUGGUCUCGGAGCUGACACCACUCACUGUCCAUGAGGGCGAUGAUGCCACAUUCCGGUGUGAAGUCUCCCCACCAGAUGCUGAUGUUACCUGGCUGCGCAAUGGGGCCGUCGUCACUCCAGGGCCCCAAGUGGAGAUGGCCCAGAAUGGUUCAAGCCGCAUCUUAACCUUGCGAGGCUGCCAACUAGGGGAUGCGGGGACCGUGACUGUGCGGGCAGGGCGCACGGCCACAAGUGCCCGGCUCCAUGUUCGAGAGACAGAGCUGCUGUUCCUACGGCGGUUGCAGGAUGUGCGGGCAGAGGAAG